UUCAGUGUUACCAGUUGCAAAUAAACUGCCUGGUAGGCGCAUGGGACAGCUGCAACCCUGCAUCCUGUUGCCUAGGGCACCACACAGCCCUGUGCACAAAGGCGACCGCCACACACGGCAGCGAGGCUCCCUUGUUCUCAACACGUCCUGAAAGGAUGCUCCUAAGAUAGUGUUGCCAGGCAACAAACCCAAUUCCAGCCAGCGAACAGAGUUCUGACUGAAAAUGUAUUCAGAGCAACAAAAUAUGAGCAAAAAAAAAAAACCAAGAGAGGAAGAGCUACCUGGUAGCAUAAAUCGUCACCGGCUUGCGGCGCAUCUGCUGCCAUGAAAACUGAUGAGGUUGGAAAGAUCCAGAAAAAAACCCCACAAUCCCGGCUCAAUGCUGCGAUUUCUGUCAGCCAUCGCCGAUGGACGAUCGGCCCAGUCCUACUGUAAAAUGUCCAGCUCAGUAUGCUUCUUGGUCACCAGUCUUAAUAUAUCAUAUUAAAUCUUUGUGUAAAAA